GCUGCAUCCGGGCUGAAAUGGGAGCUCCCGCUAUGGCACUGGCUCAAGGAGCUAAUCUAAAGAGAAAGUAUUUUGGGGAAGACAUCUUGGUUGCACCCCUCAUUGCAUCUUGACUAAUUGCUUCCAACUCCGGGGGCUUCCAGGGACAAUCUCAUUGUUCUUUUCUCUCCAAGGGUCAGCCAUGUUAACCAUUUGUUAAUUUCUUCUGAACAGAUCAAGCAAAAGUAGAUAAUCAGCCAGAAGAAUUAGUGCGUAGUGCUGAAGAUGGUGAGUGGCAGUGUGAUGAGUGUUUAUAGUGGAGACUUUGGCAAUCUGGAAGUUAAAGGAAAUAUUCAGUUUGCAAUUGAAUAUGUGGAGUCACUGAAGGAGUUGCAUGUUUUUGUGGCCCAGUGUAAGGACUUAGCAGCAGCGGAUGUAAAAAAACAGCGUUCAGACCCGUAAGUA
rnacentral:lncRNA from 1 species